rnacentral:rRNA from 1 species
GGGUUGUGAGGUUAAGCGACUAAGCGUACACGGUGGAUGCCCUGGCAGUCAGAGGCGAUGAAGGACGUGCUAAUCUGCGAAAAGCGUCGGUAAGGUGAUAUGAACCGUUACAGCCGGCGAUGUCCGAAUGGGGAAACCCAGUGCAAUUCGUUGCACUAUCGUUAACUGAAUACAUAGGUUAACGAGGCGAACCGGGGGAACUGAAACAUCUAAGUACCCCGAGGAAAAGAAAUCAACCGAGAUUCCCCCAGUAGCGGCGAGCGAACGGGGAGCAGCCCAGAGUCUGAAUCAGCUUGUGUGUUAGUGGAACGGUCUGGAAAGUCCGACGGUACAGGGUGAUAGUCCCGUACACCAAAAUGCACAGGCUGUGAACUCGAAGAGUAGGGCGGGACACGUGGUAUCCUGUCUGAAUAUGGGGGGACCAUCCUCCAAGGCUAAAUACUCCUGACUGACCGAUAGUGAACCAGUACCGUGAGGGAAAGGCGAAAAGAACCCCGGCGAGGGGAGUGAAAAAGAACCUGAAACCGUGUACGUACAAGCAGUGGGAGCACCUUCGGGUGUGACUGCGUACCUUUUGUAUAAUGGGUCAGCGACUUAUAUUCUGUAGCAAGGUUAACCGUAUAGGGGAGCCGCAGGGAAACCGAGUCUUAACUGGGCGUUAAGUUGCAGGGUAUAGACCCGAAACCCGGUGAUCUAGCCAUGGGCAGGUUGAAGGUUGGGUAACACUAACUGGAGGACCGAACCGACUAAUGUUGAAAAAUUAGCGGAUGACUUGUGGCUGGGGGUGAAAGGCCAAUCAAACCGGGAGAUAGCUGGUUCUCCCCGAAAGCUAUUUAGGUAGCGCCUCGUGAACUCAUCUUCGGGGGUAGAGCACUGUUUCGGCUAGGGGGUCAUCCCGACUUACCAACCCGAUGCAAACUACGAAUACCGAAGAAUGUUAUCACGGGAGACACACGGCGGGUGCUAACGUCCGUCGUGAAGAGGGAAACAACCCAGACCGCCAGCUAAGGUCCCAAAGUCAUGGUUAAGUGGGAAACGAUGUGGGAAGGCACAGACAGCCAGGAUGUUGGCUUAGAAGCAGCCAUCAUUUAAAGAAAGCGUAAUAGCUCACUGGUCGAGUCGGCCUGCGCGGAAGAUGUAACGGGGCUAAACCAUGCACCGAAGCUGCGGCAGCGACACUAUGUGUUGUUGGGUAGGGGAGCGUUCUGUAAGCCUGCGAAGGUGUGCUGUGAGGCAUGCUGGAGGUAUCAGAAGUGCGAAUGCUGACAUAAGUAACGAUAAAGCGGGUGAAAAGCCCGCUCGCCGGAAGACCAAGGGUUCCUGUCCAACGUUAAUCGGGGCAGGGUGAGUCGACCCCUAAGGCGAGGCCGAAAGGCGUAGUCGAUGGGAAACAGGUUAAUAUUCCUGUACUUGGUGUUACUGCGAAGGGGGGACGGAGAAGGCUAUGUUAGCCGGGCGACGGUUGUCCCGGUUUAAGCAUGUAGGCUGGUU